rfam:Gossypium raimondii Chr04_contig_35, whole genome shotgun sequence.
UGUUAAAAAUUGUAUCCAUUUCUAUUAUUUAAAAUUGGGGUGGUUGACGAAAUAACACGUGUACCUCAUUUUGACGUACAAAAACCAGUUUUUAACAAUAAAACUAGAUGGAAUUUUUAAGA